rnacentral:rRNA from 1 species
AUUGAACGCUGGCGGCAUGCCUUACACAUGCAAGUCGAACGGUAACAGGCCGCAAGGUGCUGACGAGUGGCGAACGGGUGAGUAACACAUCGGAACGUGCCUGAUAGUGGGGGAUAACUACUCGAAAGAGUAGCUAAUACCGCAUAAGAUCUCAGGAUGAAAGCAGGGGACCGCAAGGCCUUGCGCUAACAGAGCGGCCGAUGGCAGAUUAGGUAGUUGGUGGGAUAAAAGCUUACCAAGCCGACGAUCUGUAGCUGGUCUGAGAGGACGACCAGCCACACUGGGACUGAGACACGGCCCAGACUCCUACGGGAGGCAGCAGUGGGGAAUUUUGGACAAUGGGCGCAAGCCUGAUCCAGCAAUGCCGCGUGCAGGAUGAAGGCC